CCCUGUACCCCUCCAUCCCUGUACCCCUCCAUCCUUCCAUCCCUGCACCCCCAUCCCUCUAUCCCUGCACCCCUCCAUUCCUGUACCUUUCCAUCACUCCAUCCCUGUAUCCCUCUGUCCCUGCAUCCCUCUGUCCCUGCACCCCUCCAUCCCCGCACCCCUCCUUCGCUGUACCCCUCCAUCCUCCAUCUCUGCAUCCCUGCACCCCUCCAUCCUCCAUCCCUGUACCCUUACAUCCUCCAUCCCUCCAUCCCUGCGUUCCUCCAUCGCAGCAUCCCUCCACCCCAGUAUCCCUGCACCUCUUCAUCCCUCCAUUCCUGCAUCCCUCUAUUUUUCCAUUCCUCCAUUCCUGUAUCCCUGUACCCUCCAUCCUCCAUCGCAGCAUCCCUCCAUCCCUGCUCCCCACUCUCACUUCCCUUCCCUUCAUAGACAGGCUUUUCCUGCUGUCCUCAGACCCCGCCCAGGGUUACCUGAUGCCUUUCCAGCUGCACACGGAGACUGACUCACCUCUCUCUUUCUCAGUCCCAAAGUCCCGAAAGAGAGCAUCUGAUGUGGCCAGCUUGUGACAAGGCUGUCCAUGACACGGAGGCCAGGGGAGGGUCUCACUGCCCAGAACCCCACCCUGUGCUCCCAGGCCUUUUGAAUGUUCCUCCUGCUCAGCCCAGUGACUACGGGCUGUAGCUCCUCCUUCAGCCUCCCCUCGCGGUCCUGGUCUUAGGAGGCCCCGGAUGUAGAUCCGGCCCCGCCCACCAGGCAUUGCCCCUUUUCCUGGCUUCACAGACUCGGGAAUAAAGUUUCCUUCCGUUUCCCCUCUUGCAGAAGGAGAUCCGGUUGGCAGCUAAACCGCGCUGGGAACAGGGGCCUGAGUCCUGGACCAGGGCUGUCCCCGGGGCUGCUGCAGAUGGGGAGGAGCCUACACCCUCCUCCCGAGUGCUCACCUUGAUGAAAGGACUUUGCUAACCAGACCUGAUAGGCUGGAGAAUGGCCAGUCAGCCUGAGGCCACCGCGGGACACCACCUAGGCCCAGCUUCUCCCCCCACCAGAGGGCGCCAGAGCCCGCCAAGCCUCGUAGGAGAUUGAAACAAGGCCUGCUGCUGCCACCUAGCGGCCAGUUCUAGGAAUGAAUCUCGGCACCCUCAUUCCCCAGCGACUCUGCACAUCUUGACCCUUUAUGUGAACCAGAACAGUCGCUUCCCCCAUAAGCUGUCAGAAGGCAUCGUGCCUGUCUUGCUAGUGAGGAAACUGAGGCUCAGAGAGGCACAAGACUUGCCCAGGAUCACACCACCGGGACCCAGGAUUCAAGCGCAGGUCUGCCCAACGCUUCCCAGGGCAGCCAGGGACCAGGUGCCACCCUUCUGAGGUGAGGCAAGGAAUGCCCGUCCCUUGGACACGUCUAACUUGGUGAAGGUCCCACGGGUGGGUUGUGGCAUGGUUCCAGCUUGCCGGGUCUGGUGUGGGCAGCAGCUCUCUGCCUUGCCCCAAGUUCCUGGUGGGUAGCCCCAGCAGAGCCCACUGCAGCUUCACUCCCCUGCGUGCCGCCUGCCAGUGGGGGGUCCACUGCAUCCUAGGUCCUGGGCAAGUCCCCUCCCCUCCUGAAACCUUAGUUUCCUCGUCUGUGAAAUGGGGACGUGGCGGUGGUGGCACCUCCUACACCUGCUGAGAGCUACGUGAAGUCGUGCGCGGGCAGUGCCCCUGCGAGGAGGACCCACCGGACCACAUGGCCCAGGUGGCUCUGGAUUUCCUUGCAGGCGCCUGAGAUCCCAGGCCCGAGAGGAUUAAGGCGGGAUUACCUCGAGCGUGUCUGAAUGCUGGAGGAUGAAGGGCAGCUGGGAGAUGAAGCUGUUAGGACGGGCCACAUCCCAUUUCCCGCCUCGUUUCAAUUCAACUUUCCAACAGCCCUCCCUGGCUCGUCUUGCUCUCCUCUAGUGGACAAACAGGCUCAGAGAGGUGGUGUGACUUGCCCAAGAUCACUCAGCUUGGAUGCUGUGGAACAGGGACGCCCACUGUCCCAGUCUGUUUAUGGGAAGCUGCUCUGCAGCUGCCCUGACCCACCACAUGCCCCGCUGCUGUUUCUCUUGCCCUGACCCCUCGUUCCCUGGACCAGGGUGGCACAGCUCCAGGCUCUUGGGCCCUUCUCGGAGGGCAGGCACCUGUGACUGUGUCCCCAAAGACCUGAGUGGCUGAGGGGGCCCACUGUGCUUGGGCUUCCUGGAGGACGAGGAGGGGCCUGCCAGCCACCCACACCACCCCCGCCCCAGGGCUCCCCUGGAGCUUCCAUGCCAGCCGGACUCAAGUGGGUCUGGGGGAGCACCAUGCCUCCAAGCAGACCUUGAGAUGUGCCCCCUGCCCCAACCGUGCCCUCCCCAGCCCAGGACUCUGGUUGCAAACCCUGACUAAGGUGAUUUUAUCUCCACCAGGGGGCCAGUAGGUGGGAAGUGGCUUAAACAAUGCAGGUUUAUAAUCUCACAGUUCUGGGGAUCAGGAGUCUGAAAUGGGUCUCAGGGGGCUAAAAUCAAGGUGUCUGCAGGGCCGUGUUCCUUCUGGAGGCUCCAGGGGAGGAAGGGGAGUAUCCACUUCUGUGCCUUUUCAGCUUCUAGAGGCUACCUGUGUUCCUUGGCUCGUGGCCCCUUCCUCCACCUUCAAGCCAGCAGCGGAGGCCUGAGUCCUUCUCAUGCCGUCUCUCUGUUCUCUCUCCUGCCUCCUCCUCCACACUGAAGGACCCUUGUGAUCACACUGGCCCCCCUGGGUGGCCCAGGAUAAUCCAUCUCCCUGUUCGAAGGUCGGCUGAUUAGCAACCUUCAUUCCAUCUGCCUCCUUCAUUCCCCCCGGCCAUGUAAUGGGAUUCACAGCUUCUGGGGAUUAGGACAUGGACAUCUUGUGGCGCGGGCAUAAUUCUGUCGAUGACACCAAGAAACACUUGGAUGCUAAGGAUUCACUGAACACUGUUCAGGCUCCAGGUGCUGGGAGCAGCAGUGAACAAAGCCAACAGACACCGCCACCCUCAAGGAGUUCACGUUCAUGGGCGAGGGAACAGAUGAGAAACCCAGCAAUGAAAAUAAGUAGCGUAACUGACUUGAAAAGUGCAGGGGGGAAAGAGAAGACGGAUGGAGAAUGACACCUGGCCCCUUCUCUAUUUCUUUAUUUUUUUCACUCUUGUUGCCCAGGCUGGAGUAUAAUGGCAUGAUCUCGGCUCA